rnacentral:misc_RNA from 1 species
AACGCACGAGACCUGCGGACCUGCGGAGGGAUCAUUACAUGAUUUGAGGGGGCUCGCGUCCCCUCAUCCAACCCACGAACCCCGAGGAAACUUUAUGUCGAGUGGUUCGGCGCUCUCUUUGAGAGCCGCCCCUCAAACGCAUCGCAGGCUUUUCGUGAGGGUCUGAUGUGUCACAUCGUGAGUAUCAAAACUUUUAGCAAUGGAUCUCU